rnacentral:rRNA from 1 species
CAGCAGUCGCCGCGGGAAAACGUAGGUGGCAAGCGUUAUCCGGAAUUAUUGGGCGUAAAGCGCGCGUAGGCGGUUUUUUAAGUCUGAUGUGAAAGCCCACGGCUCAACCGUGGAGGGUCAUUGGAAACUGGAAAACUUGAGUGCAGAAGAGGAAAGUGGAAUUCCAUGUGUAGCGGUGAAAUGCGCAGAGAUAUGGAGGAACACCAGUGGCGAAGGCGACUUUCUGGUCUGUAACUGACGCUGAUGUGCGAAAGCGUGGGGAUCAAACAGGAUUAGAUACCCCAGUAGUCCCUGUCUCUUAUAC